UUCCUACACAGUAAACGAAAAUUACCGAGUUCGGUAAUUUAUUUUACAGAACCAGUUCUGUAAUUCGAAAAAUUUCGGUAAUUGAUCAGUUUGACAUCUUAUUUUUACCGAGUUCGGUGAAUCGAUUCUUGAUUUUACGAAGCUCGUUUAUUUUGUGUAAACAAAUCGGUUUGUCAUCAUUGUUCGGUAAAAAAACGCCGAAAAAAUCUGUAAAACAAUCCUGCCGUCAUGUGCCGCUGUCAAAACCAACGUCAAACCUCGUCUCACUCUCACAGCCGUGAUAAACUAUUGCAUCUCGCUUCCGCCAAAGAAAAGCAACAAAUAUCUGUCCAGCCGGCCAGCCAUCUCGUUUUUUCAUUUUCUUUUUCAAGAACGCGAGCGGGAUGUCUAGCAUCAAGCUGUCGUUGGAGCAGUUGCGAGCAAAAACAAAACGUGUAUUGCAAUUGUGAAAACUACAACGUAAAUUUCUGGCAGUACUAAUUGUUUUCAACUUAAUGUUGUUUUGUAAGUAUAGCCAUUGCAAUUUUUCGUACCCAUGUAUUCAAUCAGACCAUAAUUUUUCCAGCUUCCAUUAUCAUACGGGAACACCGAAAACCAGCAAAAAUCUAAAGACUGACGAUGGAACAAAAAAUCAAGUGGAAAAAUACCUGGUUUCAUUCACAGAAAGCUAGUGUUUACAGUUCCGUUCUAUCGUAUCUCGAAAUCACGAGCAUCCGGAAUAAAUGCUCUACAAAUUCUUGUUUUCUUCGACUUGGCUGUCAGCAUCCUGUUCAUGUUAUCGUUUGCUUCCUCCAAUGAGGAGCCACCUGGAACUAAGGGAACUAAAUGUGAUUUCUAGUAGUGUGACAAGGAAUUUAGAUAUGCAAAUCCGAACCGAUCUGAUUUGUGGAAGUUGUGGUAGUAACUCUUGUGUUUAAAUUAAAAUGCAAUAAUUAUGAUUUAAAUGUGUCGUUCUCCAAAUGAUUACCACUGUUUUCCCACUACCAGUGUCUUUCCCCAGCUACAACCCGCGGUUCUGAAGUUUCCGAAUCAGCACCAGAAAUCGGGGGUUAUUCUGCGACUCGAGUGACGUGACUUUCGAAAUUUCAUAUCGUUUUGCUGAUCUCAUGACAUGAGUCAUGACACUCGAGUCGCAGAAUAAUCCCCAUCAUUCCAGCAGGCCGUCAUUAGCGAGCUCGAUAAUAGUUCACCUUCUUCAAAUCUAACCCUCGUUUACACUUUGUACCUUUGUGCCAGGUACCUUGCCUUCACCCACUAUACUGUCCCGAUUUAUACUCCAACCGAGCAUGCUAAAAUUAACAGUUUUCCUCUUUCACAUAAUAAAUCUGAUCCAGAACGUCGUUCAGAAGCAGAUGCCAAAAUCCUGUUCUUGUGGGUGUCCAAUAGAUCCGAGUUUCUGCACAUUUCACACAACUUUGGCUUUUAGCGUCCAGGCGCUGAAAGUUCUCGCCGAGAGAGCUCUGACGGCGAAAUUUAAUAUCGAUUUCCAGGUCAAACUGUCCCAAACGCAGUCGUAACACGUAUCACGAUUCCGCCGCUGGACUGGUACUUUCCGUGCUCGAAUCGGUUAUGGCCAUGCUGCGAAGGUAUCGGGCCAACGCUGCCCUCACUGAUUGUGUGUAUUUACGAGCGGUGAAUUGUACCUGCGUAUUAACUUCGGGAAGAUAAUUGUUGACAACACCACAAUGCAGCUGGUUAGCAACACGAAUCAGUUUGUCGUGAUGGUUGCCCCUAAUUUGUACGGAAACAUAAUCGACAAUAUCGCUCCAGGUUUAGUUGGUGGUACUGGUGUUGUUGGUGGAGCUUUCUACACGACCGAGCAUGCCGUUUUUGAAAAGGAAGAACAUCACGCUUUCGCCAAGGGCCUGAUGAUUUUACAAACCGUCCAGAAGGUGCUGAAAUGGGAUAGGGUUCGCGUUAACCCCCUGGGCGGCCAAUCGACCAUCAAAGACUUAACCCAGGCUGUUACCGACAAUUUGCGAUAAGCGAAAAUAUAAUUUAAGUUUUUGAUGUUCAAUUGUAUGUUGGCACAUUCAUCACCUCUCUACCAAAUGUGAUAGGAUGUUGGAGGCUGAAAUCAUCAAAUGCCAAAAGCCAGUGUUCACCGUGAUAAGAAAUUUAGUUGACCCUGACAUCCCAUCAACCACCAAAUAUCGAAAAAUUUCAAAUGCUAUGCGAAAAAAUCAACCAACCAUUACUUAAGCAAUUGCUAUCUGUAAUUAAAUAUAAAUCUGUAAUUAAACAUAAUAUUAUUGAUAUUCUUGAAAUUCUUUUAAUACUUGUGAAUCAAGUUGUGAUGUUGUGAAAA